AAAACCGAGACGAACGCUGGCGGCGUGCUUAACACAUGCAAGUCGAACGGAAAGGCCCUGCUUGCAGGGUGCUCGAGUGGCGAACGGGUGAGUAACACGUGGGUGAUCUGCCCCUGACUUUGGGAUAAGCCUGGGAAACUGGGUCUAAUACCGGAUAUGACCAAGGAUUGCAUGGUUCUUGGUGGAAAGCUUUUGCGGUUGGGGAUGGGCCCGCGGCCUAUCAGCUUGUUGGUGGGGUAAUGGCCUACCAAGGCGACGACGGGUAGCCGACCUGAGAGGGUGAUCGGCCACACUGGGACUGAGACACGGCCCAG
rnacentral:rRNA from 1 species